rnacentral:misc_RNA from 1 species
UUUGUAUGGGAAACAAACCAUGCUGUUUAUUUAACAAAAGGCAGCAUUUCAUUCCUUCUUUCCGAUCCCGUGAGACAGAUUGUAGAUCCCACGACCAAUGAGGAACAGGCAGGAGCCUGCCAGAGCGACAGGAAUAGCUACGGAUGUGACCUUAUCGUAACGACCUUUCAGGUACGUGUGCUUAUGAGUAUUCUGGAAAAUUUGCUGAUACUUCUGUAUCCUUUCCCUCGACACAAAUGGUGCUUCUGACAUCCUGGGAGAGGAGGCGAGCGCGAGAUGAGAGGAGACUCCGCAGCG